AGUCGAGCGGUAAGGCCUUUCGGGGUACACGAGCGGCGAACGGGUGAGUAACACGUGGGUGAUCUGCCCUGCACUUCGGGAUAAGCCUGGGAAACUGGGUCUAAUACCGGAUAUGACCUCAGGUUGCAUGACUUGGGGUGGAAAGAUUUAUCGGUGCAGGAUGGGCCCGCGGCCUAUCAGCUUGUUGGUGGGGUAAUGGCCUACCAAGGCGACGACGGGUAGCCGACCUGAGAGGGUGACCGGCCACACUGGGACUGAGACACGGCCCAGACUCCUACGGGAGGCAGCAGUGGGGAAUAUUGCACAAUGGGCGAAAGCCUGAUGCAGCGACGCCGCGUGAGGGAUGACGGCCUUCGGGUUGUAAACCUCUUUCAGCAGGGACGAAGCGCAAGUGACGGUACCUGCAGAAGAAGCACCGGCUAACUACGUGCCAGCAGCCGCGGUAAUACGUAGGGUGCAAGCGUUGUCCGGAAUUACUGGGCGUAAAGAGUUCGUAGGCGGUUUGUCGCGUCGUUUGUGAAAACCAGCAGCUCAACUGCUGGCUUGCAGGCGAUACGGGCAGACUUGAGUACUGCAGGGGAGACUGGAAUUCCUGGUGUAGCGGUGAAAUGCGCAGAUAUCAGGAGGAACACCGGUGGCGAAGGCGGGUCUCUGGGCAGUAACUGACGCUGAGGAACGAAAGCGUGGGUAGCGAACAGGAUUAGAUACCCUGGUAGUCCACGCCGUAAACGGUGGGCGCUAGGUGUGGGUUC
rnacentral:rRNA from 1 species